GAUGAAGAACGCAGCGAAAUGCGAUAAGUAGUGUGAAUUGCAGAAUUCAGUGAGUCAUCGAAUCUUUGAACGCACAUUGCGCCUUCUAGUAUUCUGGGAGGCAUGCCUGUUUGAGCGUCAUUAAACCUCUCUCAAGUAUGAUUACUUGGAUGUGAAGGAAGAGUACCUUAAACUUAAGGAGUGUUCUCCUUUGAAAUUGAUUAGCAGAUGGUAAUGUUAUUAAAUCCCUGAUGUUGUAAGAAAUAACAGUGGUUUUGUAGACUAUUAUCUAGCUUUAAAUUAUAAUUUUUAUUAUGGUUGACCUCAAAUCAGGUAAGGAUACCCGCUGAACUUAAGCAUAUCAAUAAGCGGAGGA
rnacentral:misc_RNA from 1 species